rnacentral:rRNA from 1 species
UACGUAGGUGGCAAGCGUUGUCCGGAUUUAUUGGGUUUAAAGGGUGCGUAGGCGGCUUAUUAAGUCAGUGCUGAAAUAUCCCGGCUUAACCGGGAGGGUGGCAUUGAUACUGAUGAGCUUGAGUAGAGUUGAGGUUGGCGGAAUUGACGGUGUAGCGGUGAAAUGCUUAGAUAUCGUCAAGAACGCCGAUAGUGAAGACAGCUGACUAAACUUUAACUGACGCUGAGGCACGAAAGUGUGGGGAUCAAACAGG